UCAUUAUCAAAAUACAUUCAAAUCUCUAUAUAUAGAUAUAUAUAUAUAGAUAUGUAAUGAUGGGUUAUACUCAUUUAGUUGGUACAUUGCAUAUAAACUAUCAAAAUGUAUUUACAUCUGAUUGAAUUUCUAACACUAUUUGCAACAUAUAUAAAGAAGAAGUAUAUCAACAUGUACUUGUGAUAUUCACCUGGGAUUAAACGUUCGAUUUAAUUUUAAAGAUAUUAUAUAAAUAUUGCAUUCUUGAGAGGAUGAUAUGAAAAAUGUUCAUCGCGAGAUAUACGAAUAUCGGCCGAGGCACCAGCCACCAGCUCUUUUCAAAUUUCGAGGAAAAUGCGAUAUUUAUUCUAUUAUACCUAAAAUACUUAUAGGUCAAAACAUUUACUUGAAAAUCAACAUAAUGGUUUAAAUAAUUUAUUUAACACUAAAAAGUAAUUACUAGCAAAAUAAUGAGGACAGGAAGAAGGAGUCUUAACUUGCUGAAAUGGACUGCAGUAACAUUCGAAAAAUGGCAAUAACUUUCAUAUUUCUAAACGAACAUGUAAGUGCAUGUACGUUUUUCUUAGUCUCAUCAUUUCCAAUCUUAUGGUUACGAUUUCAAUUAAAUAUCUGAUAAAUGUUUUUUUUUUCCUUACUUUUGAUGGGUAGAACAUAUCAUUAAAAAGUAAUCAGCAUGAUUCACACAUGCAGAAAAGAAAAGAUAAUUUAACCCUGAAGUGUAAAUAUAAAUGUGCCUCGACUGAAAAUUCGUCGUCUCGGUGUGACGUAAACAAAGAUAUAGUCGAAAGUUAUAAUAACAGUUGAAAUUCAAAUUAGACUCGUGUUCAAUUAAAUUUGGAGUGUAUACUGAAAAAAGUGAAAAACAUGUUAUUUUUAAGUGAACGUUAUAUUUUAAAUUUGAUUUUUUAAAAUAUAUUUGGAAUAUAUAUUGAUACGCAGAUAAACAACUAUUAUGGCACAAGAUAUCUAGUUUAUAGACUGAAAUAUAAAAGUGCGAUAAAAUGCUAAAUUAAUGUAAUUGCAAGAGUACCAAAAACAUGGACUGGCAGCAGAAUGAAUAUCUUUCAGAUUGCAAACAAUCAUGUAAUAUAUUCCGCCCGUAACCACUUUUAAGUUGAAGUAUAUUCAUUAAAACUUCAAAAUACAUAAAAGUGAAUCUAUGAAAUUCUAGAGAGUUUGUUUUUUUAUUUUAGUAAGUAAAUACGAAUAAAUGCGAACACUUUAUCAAUCCUAAAGAAUAUCUUAAUAUACAUUUGACUUUUGAAAAUGUCGGUUGAAGAGAAGCGUUUAUCUUUAUAUUUUCAUCAUAGAUGCUUUCAGCUUUUUCAUAAACCUAGUAACUUAAAGAGGGCAAUAAACAUUAUUUUAUUUAUUUUAUCAUUUUAUUUAACAAUAAAAAUGUAAUAAAUGUAAUCAUUUUAAAAUGAUUUUUGUCAGUUAUUAUAUUUCAUUACAACAUGUAUCUCGAAUCUGGUUUGCGACUUCAAUUAAAUCUGAACAUCAGCAAAAAUUGCUUUAUAUACAUCAAAAUUGCAUUGAAAAUUAAUUGUGUAUCAGAUCUAAAUGUUUUAUGCAAAGACACGGAUAUCGUUGUUUAUUCUCAAGUUUAAUGGUAUUUUCCAGUGCUUUGCAUAAUAUCUAAAACAGUUUAUACUAUAUACAUGUAACUGCAAGACCAUUUGAUUAUGAAUGAAGCUAGUUCUUUUAAAUUUACUAUAUACAUUAAGUAAUGUUAAAUCAAAUUGAGCAGGAUUUUAUACAUUUGAAGUGAUAUAUAAAGAUCAAAUAUUUUAAUAAACGAUGAGUAUGUGCUAUUUUUAAUCCAUUCUGAAUGCCACAAAUAUUUUAUGCCGUCAUCAUAGUUGUUUAGAAUUGUGUUGGAAAUUCAAAUCGAUUUGAACACAUUAAAAAUAACAAUAAACAUUACUCACCAAUAAUCAUAUUUUGUCAUAUUAAGUACAUUCUAAACUGAAUUGAAAAUUAAAUCCGUGUAUAAAUUAUUACCAUGAAACGUACUGACAAAUACCUAUUCAUCUUCACUACGUCCAUGCACAUUCAAAAUUGUAAUGAAAAUUAAAUCCUAGCUGAAAAACAAUAAAAGUUAUAUUUCUUUAAUUCUAUUUAUUUUUCAAACUCUAUUGGAAAUUAAAAGCGAUGUGGAUAUAUGUAUUCUUACAAAAUCAAUACUUAAUUCCCAAAGCACAAUCUCUUCUUAGCGAAUGUUUGAGCUCUGGUUCAUCCCAAAUAAUAGAAAGACAUGAAGAAAAUAUUUAAAACCUGUUCAACAGCCACUGGUGUAAGAUGUCGUAUUGAUUGUUGUUCAGCGCCUUAAAAGUUCUUUUUGUUGUGGACCUACUAUGCAAAUGCGUAAUUCUGGGAUUUUUUUGUGAAACUAGAGCAUUCUUUUCUAACAGUGAACUUAAGAGAUACUACCUAUGGAGUUAUGAUCAGAUUGAAACCAUCAUCUUGAGUAAAUCGAAUUGGUCUAAGG